UACAGAGGGGGCCAGCGUUAUUCGGAAUUAUUGGGCGUAAAGGGCGCGUAGGCGGCCUUGCGUGUCUUUCGUGAAAUCCCUCGGCUUAACUGAGGACGUGCGGAAGAAACUGCAGGGCUUGAGUCCGGGAGAGGGGGGUGGAAUUCCCAGUGUAGCGGUGAAAUGCGUAGAUAUUGGGAGGAACACCGGUGGCGAAGGCGGCCCCCUGGACCGGUACUGACGCUGAGGCGCGAAAGCGUGGGUAGCAAACGGG
rnacentral:rRNA from 1 species